UACGGAGGGUGCAAGCGUUGUCCGGAUUUAUUGGGUUUAAAGGGUGCGUAGGUGGCCCGUUAAGUCCGGGGUGAAAGCCCACUGCUCAACAGUGGAACUGCCCUGGAUACUGGCGGGCUUGAGAGUAGUCGAGGGUGGCGGAAUGGACGGUUUAGCGGUGAAAUGCAUAGAUACCGUCCAGAACCCCAAUUGCGUAGGCAGCUUCCUAGGCUACAUCUGACACUGAGGCACGAAAGCGUGGGGAGCGAACAGG
rnacentral:rRNA from 1 species